GGCAUUCUCAUUCGAUUUUACCUCCACUUGUUGCCUCGGCUUGCUCUUCAGGUAUGCCUUUUGACCUUUUUAUCAUUCUCUCUGACUCCUGUAGGGUUAUCAAAUCGUAAAUUGAAUGCUACAUAGAAACUUUUAUUAACAGUUCUCUCAUCAUAUGAACUAGUAACCACCAUAAAGAUGAUGAUUAUGACGAUGAAGAUAGAUUUAGGACAUGAAAAGCCCUCUUCAUUGUCAUUCCUACAAUUAGUAAGAGCACCAAACUUUGAUAUAGAUAUUUGAGUAUACAACAAGUCAAAGCAAAUUUAGGAGAAGCCAAUUUUUUAUUAUUUUUCCCCACAUAAGAAUCUAGUGCUCUUGUAAAAGUGGUGAGGUUUGAGUACACGACUACCUCAUCUUUUGUAUCUGUAGCUAUUUAUGUUUUGAGUUGCUUGUUUUUGAAAAAUUAUGACGAAGGAAAUCUUUAACAAAUACCUAAUUUUGGAUUACAAGAAGACUUCUGAGUAUUUCUAACCUUCCAUCAAUCUAAUCUCUGAACUCACAUGAAGUUGACAUUCCUCGGUUCUCUUGAUAGGACCUUUCAUGUUUGAAUAUUUUUUCAUCUUCUCAUCAACUGCAUAAACGGUAGUUUUGUUGCAGGUCAGAGACCAAAAUAGGUGUAAAUCAAAGGUUGUUUUGUCAGAGAAACACUUACAUAUGAAUAGCAAAGGGAGUCAAAACGUUGCAACAACCUGCAAGCCUGUCACUACAUUUGUCCAAACUGACACCAACACUUUCAGAGAAAUUG
rnacentral:lncRNA from 1 species